rnacentral:rRNA from 1 species
UAAGGAAUAUUGGUCAAUGGACGAGAGUCUGAACCAGCCAUGCCGCGUGAAGGAUGAAGGCGUUCUGCGUUGUAAACUUCUUUUGCGGGGGAAGAAACCUUGAUAUUCUUAUCAAGCCGACGGUACCCCGAGAAUAAGCACCGGCUAACUCCGUGCCAGCAGCCGCGGUAAUACGGAGGGUGCAAGCGUUAUCCGGAUUUACUGGGUUUAAAGGGUGCGUAGGUGGAUUUGUAAGUCAGUGGUGAAAUCUCCGAGCUUAACUCGGAAACUGCCAUUGAUACUAUAAGUCUUGAAUUAUCUGGAGGUAAGCGGAAUAUGUCAUGUAGCGGUGAAAUGCUUAGAUAUUACUUAGAACACCAAUUGCGAAGGCAGGUUACCAUGUCUUAACUGACGCUGAUGGACGAAAGCGUGGGGAGCGAACA